UACGUAGGGUGCAAGCGUUAAUCGGAAUUACUGGGCGUAAAGCGUGCGCAGGCGGUUCUAUAAGACAGAUGUGAAAUCCCCGGGCUCAACCUGGGAACUGCAUUUGUGACUGUAGAGCUGGAGUGCGGCAGAGGGGGAUGGAAUUCCGCGUGUAGCAGUGAAAUGCGUAGAUAUGCGGAGGAACACCGAUGGCGAAGGCAAUCCCCUGGGCUAAGAUUGACGCUCAUGCACGAAAGCGUGGGGAGCAAACAGG
rnacentral:rRNA from 1 species